rnacentral:rRNA from 1 species
UACGUAGGGGGCAAGCGUUGUCCGGAAUCACUGGGCGUAAAGCGCGUGUAGGCGGUCCGGUAAGUCGGUUGUGAAAGUCCAGGGCUCAACCCUGGGAUGCCGACCGAUACUGUCGGACUAGAGUUCGGAAGAGGCGAGUGGAAUUCCCGGUGUAGCGGUGAAAUGCGCAGAUAUCGGGAGGAACACCAAUGGCGAAGGCAGCUCGCUGGGACGUUACUGACACUGAGGCGCGAAAGCGUGGGGAGCGAACAGG